UAUAAUAUAUAUAUUUUCCCAUUUUUUUGUUUUAUUUUUUUUUUUUUAUAUUAAUGCAUUUUUAAAAUAAAUAGUAACAAAAUAAAUAGUAAUAAAAUUUUACGUUUAUGUUAAAGACAUAUAAAAAGGUAUAAACCUUAAGUAAGGGAUGAAUAUAUGUGGUUUAUAAAUGUACACAUGUUAUAUAUAUAUAUAUAAAUACAGUUUUAUACUUUUUGCUUGUGGUUUCCCAUUACAUAACAUAUUAAAACAGCUAAACGCAGCUUUAUUAUUAUACAAAAUUAGUAAAAAAAAAAAAAUAAAAUAAAUAAUAAAAUAAAAUUUAAACCUUAAUAAAUUAAAACUUAGGCUAAAGGCACUAGAGUAAUUUUAUAUAUAUAAUUCGGUUAGUAAAAAAAAAAAAAAGAAAAAAAAAAAAAAAAAAAAAAAAAAAAGUUGAAAAUAUACAAUAUAACAAGAUAUACAUUAUAUAUAUAAACUUACAAACUUUUAUAAUUUAUUAAAAAAAUAAGAAAAAAAAGAAAAUGUUAAAAGCUUUUACAUUAUAAUUGUUUUACGCUUUUUAUAAAAUUAUGUUAUCACGUUAACAGCUUUUUUAACUGCGUUAAAUAACGAAUUUAUUAUAUUACAUUUUAUUUUAGCCUUUAUUUUAGCCUUUAUUUUAGCCUUUAUUUUAGCCUUUAUUUUAGCUCUUAUUUUAGCUCUUAUUUUAGCUCUUAUUUUAUUUUAUAUAUUUCUCAUUUAAACCACAAUAGCCUAUUGUAAUUUGUGUCAUCAUUUUGAGUUAUUCUACAGUGUUUGUGUACUUGUACCUUUCUUAAGCUUUUCUUGUACUUUUUUUUUUUUUUUAUUAUUUUUUUUAAAAUAUAGGUAUUUUUUUUUUAAAUAAAUAAAUAUAUAUAUAUAUAUAUAUAUAUAUAUACCUUUUCUGUUCUUUAUAAAUAAUAUGGCUAACGAGAGCGCCGAAGUAGAUGAUUGGACUGAGUGGUUAGACGAUGCCGAAGACAACAAAACAAAAAAUACAAGUUUAUUACAACCUAGUGUUAAGAAUGAUGAAAUCAGAAAACAAAUAUUACAAAAUGACAUAAAUGAUAUAAAUGAUUUUUUAGAUAUAAGUGAUGAAAAAAGAGAAGAUAAUAAAGAAGAAAUCAAAGAAAAUAAAACUAAACAAAAAACUAAAACUUAUGAAAAAAUAAUACAACUAGAAAAUACUCCUUUAAAUUCUAUUAAAGAUUGUGAAAUGCUUGGUACAACUUUAGGUGUUAGAAUAAAAACAAGCAAUCUAAAAAGUGCUGCUUUAGAAAGAUUUUUGUCUAUUCUUUUAAAUGCGUCUGAAAGUAAAUUAGAUGAUAAAGAGUUAAAAAGUAUAAAUAGAAAAAUACAAGAAAUUCUUGAAAGACGAGAAAAACAAAAAAGAGAAACAGCAAUGAAAAAAAAAAACCAAAUGAAAUUAAAAAUAAAAUUAAAAAUUACCAAGAUGAAGUUGAUAUGAUCUAUGGUGAGUUAUCAUAUGAUGAAGACGACCCGAACAAUGAUUAUACGGAUGACUAUUAUGACUACGACAAUAAAAAGUAGAAAAAUGGAAAUGUAAGUGGGGAU
rnacentral:lncRNA from 1 species